AAGCGGUAACUGAGCACAGACAGGACCUCCCCUCCUAAACCGUUAUCCUCAUGCAGCGCACCCAGGACUUGGUGUUGUUCUUACUCUAUAGGGCAUGCUAUGAACCCUAUCUACAGAUGAAGAAGCCAAGGUUUGGAGUAGUCAAGGACUCUGUCCAGGAUUUCCCACUGAGGACAUAAGGGUCCAGCAUUCCAGUCUCUGCCUGGCUGGCCAGGGCCAGGCCUCUGCACUCUACCUGAAAUAACACCAGCCUGUCUUGGAUUCCCCCAACUUCCCAAAGCAACGUGUGGCCCCUGCACCAGCAUCCAGUGUGUCCUGGCUGCUUUUAGAAAACUUUUCACUGUUGUUUCCACUCAUAAGGCAGUGUACGUGUUUUCUUUUGUGGUGUGUGUGUGUGUGUGUGUGUGUGUACACGUGCGUGUGCAUGCAUGUGUGCAUGUGUAUCUAUGCACUAUGCAUACACAUUUAUGCCUAAGAUAUACCUCUGGUGAACUGCUGGGUAUUUUAAUAGAAACUUGUCAAAACUGUUUACAGCCUUCAGCUAUCAUAUGCCUUCGGCUAGCAUAUGCCUACUGGAUAUCUCUACUUAUCUCCCCCUAGGCUGAUAUUUGAGGUUCUCUCAGUCUAUGGACUAUAAUAGAUACCAAGAGUCUCACCUUUGGGCUCCUCAGUAAUCUAACUCCAUCAUUUUCCCAGACAGGCCCUCAGAGGAGAAGGUAUUCCCUGCAGGUCAUGAGCAGUGUGCCAGGCAACUGCCACACAGGCAUCAUGGCUUUCAGGGAGCCUGUGUUGGGUGAGGAACUGUACAGUAGGAUGUUGGAGGUCAGGGGGCUAAUGUGGUGAAAACUCGGGACAACAGUGUCUGGUGCUGAGCUGGACCACCAUCAGGGGAGAUAGAGGCACGAGGAGCAUGCUGCCCCUCUGUCUCCAUGAGGACAGCUUUCUGACCCUGAGACCUGCAUCACUGUCCUCAUCUCAGCAUCUGACAUUAGCCUUUCUGCUCCAUCCCCCAUGCACAGGUACACAGUCAGAAGAUCAGAGGACAAUCUGCAAAAUUCAGUUCUUCUACCAUGUGGGUCCUGGGGUUGAACUCAGGUCCCCAGGGGUGACCCCCAAGUGCUUUCACACACUAAGCCCAAAGGAAACUUUUACUGAGCUAAGUAUGGUUAUAAAAAAGGAACACACACCCCACACCUACUUUGCCCAAAUUUCCUAGGGAACACUCAUCAAGGUCACACCAGUGAGACCAGUGGUCUCGGUGUCUGGGAGGUAGGAGCAGAAGCACCAGGAGUUCAAGGCCGUUCUUAGAAAACUGAGUUUGAUGCCCACCCUGGAAUAUAGAAGACCCUGACAGACAUAGAGACAAACAGACAGACAGACAAAAAUCAACAAACAAACAAACAAACAAAACCCCAAUACCCUAGUACAAACUGAGUUUACAGCACAGGCCUUUAACUCUUGAACUCAAGAAGGAAAGGCAGCACUCAAGAGGUGGAGGCAGGUGGAUCGCUGUGACUUUCAGGCUAACCAGCUCUAAAUAAUUAGACCCUGUCUAAAAACAAAACCCAACCAGUACAAUCUCACACCUGUGACACUGACACUGAUGUGACGUGUGUGUGUGUGUGUGUGUGUGUGUGUGUGUGUGUGUGUGUGUGUGUGUGUGUCUGUGUGUGUUGGCCAUUAGAACGUUGACACCUGUAAUUCGUGUAUCCACACUACCAUCAAGAUACACAACAGCUCUGUCCCCAAAAGGUCCUUCUGUCCACCUUUCAUAACCUCACCCUUCUCAUUCCUCUGCCCUUCCCCCACCCAAUUCUUGGCCUUUUAAUCUGUUCUCCAUUGCUAAUAUGCUGUCAUUUCAAACUGCUAUGUAAAUAGACUCACGUGGCAUGUGACCUUUCGGGACUGGCUUUUUCAUUCUGCUUAAUUCUGGCUCUUCAAGUUGUGAUGAGUGUCCGGGUCCUCUCUUCUUAUGGGUGGGAAUUUCUGGGACACCCUUCUCUACCACCCUCAGGUUCAUCAUUCCUGCACUGAGGGACAUCUGGCUGUUUCCAGUUUGGGGCUCUAACAAAUAAAACUACCAUGAAUA